rnacentral:rRNA from 1 species
CCAAUAGCGUAUAUUAAAGUUGUUGCAGUUAAAGAGCUCGUAGUUGAAUUUCGGGAUCAAUAUUUCGGUCAUGCCGUUGGUAUGCACUGUUAUCAUUGAUUUCUCACCUUCUAAAGAACCGUAAUGCCAUUAAUUUGGUGUUACGGGGAAUUAGGACUGUUACCUUGAAAAAAUUAGAGUGUUUAAAGCAGGCUCACGCUUGAAUACAUUCGCAUUGAAUAAUGAAAUAGGACAUCCGAUUCUAUUUUGUUGGUUUCUAGGAUCGAUGUAAUGAUUAAUAGGGAUAGUUGGGGGCAUUAGUAUUCAAUUGUCAGAGGUGAAAUUCUUGGAUUUAUUGAAGACUAACUACUGCGAAAGCAUUUGCCAAGGAUGUUUUCAUUAAUCAAGAACGAAAGUUAGGGGAUCGAAGACGAUCAGAUACCGUCGUAGUCUUAACCAUAAACUAUGCCGACUAGGGAUCGGAUGAUGUUAAUUUUUUAAUGACUCAUUCGGCGCCUUACG